AAAAAUAUAUAUAUAUAUAUAAAAGAAAAAAAAAAAAAAAACAGUCACAAAAUAAAAACAAAGCAAACCCAAAACAGUGCAUGCCUCUGAGGCUGAAUGGUGCUAGACAGCAUGUUUGUCAAUGAAUUGAAUAGUUUUUUUGGCCUGUAGUGUUGAAUGAGUUUUUAGGUUCUUUUGUCUAAAAGUGUUUUGUUAGGCACUAAUCACAUUUUAUUGACUAUCUUUUUAAACCUGUAUGCGUUUGUGUGUGUAAGCCUCUCUGCAUAUAAUUCUUCUCCGUCUCCUUCACUUGCCAGCUCUCUUGAACUGCAAGGUCAUUGGUGCUUUAAAGUCCCCCACAGUAAAAUUUUACACUUCCGAGGCGCCCCCACUAAGCCUUCCGUCAUCUAUUUUUAAUACCAGAAAAACAUCCCUUGCGACAACAUGGGGUCUGCGUGCCUGUCAUUUUGAACCUCAUUAAGGGGUCGCUUAAA